UACGGAGGGUGCAAGCGUUAUCCGGAAUCACUGGGUUUAAAGGGUGCGUAGGCGGCUUUGUCAGUCAGGGGUGAAAGCCCGCAGCUUAACUGCGGAACUGCCUUUGAUACUGCAGAGCUUGAAAGAGGUUGAGGUCAGCGGAACGUGACAUGUAGCGGUGAAAUGCGUAGAGAUCCGGAGGAACACCAGUGGCGAAGGCGACACGCUGGGCCGCACCUGACGCUAAGACGCGACAGCAUGGGGAGCGAACAGG
rnacentral:rRNA from 1 species